UGGGGGAUAUUGCACAAUGGGCGAAAGCCUGAUGCAGCGACGCCGCGUGGGGGAUGAAGGCCUUCGGGUUGUAAACUUCUUUUGCUCUGAACAAGGCGCGCCAUGGGGUGUGUUGAGUGUAGGGGUUGAUUAGCGCCGGCUAACUACGUGCCAGCAGCCGCGGUAAUACGUAGGGCGCGAGCGUUGUCCGGAAUUAUUGGGCGUAAAGGGCUUGUAGGUGGCUGGUUGCGUCUGUCGUGAAAGCUCAUGGCUUAACUGUGGGUUUGCGGUGGGUACGGGCUGGCUUGAGUGCAGUAGGGGAGGCUGGAAUUCCUGGUGUAGCGGUGGAAUGCGCAGAUAUCAGGAGGAAUACCGGUGGCGAAGGCGGGUCUCUGGGCUGUUACUGACACUGAGGAGCGAAAGCAUGGGGAGCGAACAGG
rnacentral:rRNA from 1 species